AACGAACGCUGGCGGCAUGCCUAACACAUGCAAGUCGAACGAGACCUUCGGGCCUAGGGGCGCACGGGUGCGUAACGCGGGGGAACCUGCCCUUAGGUUCGGAAUAACUCCCCGAAAGGGGUGCUAAUACAGGAUAAUGUCAUCGGAGAAAAGAUUUAUCGCCUUUGGAUGGGCCCGCGUUGGAUUAGCUAGUUGGGAGGGUAAAAGCCUACUAAGGCGACGAUCCAUAGCUGGUCUGAGAGGAUGCUCAGCCACACUGGGACUGGGACACGGCCCAGACUCCUACGGGCGGCAGCAGUGGGGAAUAUUGGACAAUGGGCGAAAGCCUGAUCCAGCAAUGCCGCGUGAGUGAUGAUGGCCUUAGGGUUGUAUAUCUCUUUUCCCGGGAUGAUAAUGACAGUACCGGGAGAAUAAGCUCCGGCUAACUCCGUG
rnacentral:rRNA from 1 species